rnacentral:rRNA from 1 species
CCUACGGGAGGCAGCAGUGAGGAAUAUUGGUCAAUGGACGAGAGUCUGAACCAGCCAAGUAGCGUGAAGGAUGACUGCCCUAUGGGUUGUAAACUUCUUUUAUAAAGGAAUAAAACGAGGCACGUGUGCCGUUUUGCAUGUACUUUAUGAAUAAGGAUCGGCUAACUCCGUUCCAGCAGCCGCGGUAAUACGGAGGAUCCGAGCGUUAUCCGGAUUUAUUGGGUUUAAAGGGAGCGUAGAUGGGUUGAUAAGUCAGUUGUGAAAGUUUGCGGCUCAACCGUAAAAUUGCAAUUGAUACUGGCAGUCUUGAGUACAGUUGAGGUAGGCGGAAUUCGUGGUGUAGCGGUGAAAUGCUUAGAUAUCACGAAGAACCCCGAUUGCGAAGGCAGCUUACUAAACUGUGACUGACAUUGAUGCUCGAAAGUGUGGGUAUCAAACAGGAUUAGAUACCCUUGUAGUC